GGCUCGCCGUCUGAUUAGCUGAGGCAAAUAGGCUUUACCAAGGCGAUGAUCAGUAGCUGGUCCAAGAGGAUGAUCAGCCACACUGGGACUGAGACACGGCCCAGACUCCUACGGGAGGCAGCAGUGGGGAAUUUUCCGCAAUGGGCGAAAGCCUGACGGAGCAAUGCCGCGUGGAGGUGGAAGGCCUACGGGUCGUCAACUUCUUUUCUCGGA
rnacentral:ncRNA from 1 species